CGUGUAAUUAAUUUUUCAAGAUCAAAUUGUUUGAAAAUUAAGAAUGAUGAUGUUGCAUAUAGGUUUAGAGGUAUCUUAAAGCGCGAAUAUGCGAUUUGACCAUCAUGUAAACAUUUUGUAGCUAUUCCAGAGGUGGCUGUAACUAGGACAAUUUGUCUGAUAUUUCUUAGACUUGUAAUUAAAGCACGAUAAAUGAACAUCUUACCUAUUCCCCCAGUUUCAUCUAUAAAAACAACUUUACCCUGUCUAUGCUCAGUGACAUUCAUGACGGUGUUGAAACCAACUAAUUCAUUAGAAUUUAGUUUUCUCAC
rnacentral:lncRNA from 1 species